UCUUCUCUUCCUUUGGAGACUAAGAGGGAGAGGAAGCUGUCUGAACGGU
rnacentral:snRNA from 1 species